rnacentral:rRNA from 1 species
GUGAGGAAUUUUGCGCAAUGGCCGCAAGGCUGACGCAGCAACGCCGCGUGGGUGAUGAAGGCCUUCGGGUCGUAAAGCCCUGUCAGGUGGGAAGAAAGGCCUGGAGAGGAAAGGUUUCAGGUUUGACGGUACCACCAGAGGAAGCACCGGCUAACUCCGUGCCAGCAGCCGCGGUAAUACGGAGGGUGCGAGCGUUAUUCGGAAUUACUGGGCGUAAAGCGCGUGUAGGCGGGGGGACAAGUCUGAUGUGAAAGCCCUGGGCUUAACCUGGGAAGCGCAGUGGAAACUGUUUUUCUUGAGUACUGGAGAGGAAGGGGGAAUUCCCGGUGUAGAGGUGAAAUUCGUAGAGAUCGGGAGGAAUACCAGUGGCGUAGGCGCCCUUCUGGACGGUAACUGACGCUGAGACGCGAAAGCGUGGGGAGCAAACAGGAUUAGAAACCCGGGUAGUCC